CAGCAGCCGCGGGAAUACGGAGGGGGCUAGCGUUACUCGGAAUUACUGGGCGUAAAGCGUGCGUAGGUGGUGGUUUAAGUCUGUUGUGAAAUCCCCGGGCUCAACCUGGGAAUGGCAAUGGAUACUGGCAAGCUAGAGUGUGUCAGAGGAUGGUGGAAUUCCCGGUGUAGCGGUGAAAUGCGUAGAGAUCGGGAGGAACAUCAGUGGCGAAGGCGGCCAUCUGGGACAACACUGACGCUGAGGCACGAAAGCGUGUGGAGCAAACAGGAUUAGAUACCCGAGUAGUCCCUGUCUCUUAUAC
rnacentral:rRNA from 1 species